GACGAACGCUGGCGGCGUGCUUAACACAUGCAAGUCGAACGGAAAGGCCCUGCUCUUGUGGGGUGCUCGAUUGGCGAACGGGUGAGUAACACGUGAGUAACCUGCCCUUGACUUUGGGAUAACUUCAGGAAACUGGGGCUAAUACCGGAUAGGAGCUCCUGCUGCAUGGGGGGGGUUGGAAAGUUUCGGCGGUUGGGGAUGGACUCGCGGCUUAUCAGCUUGUUGGUGGGGUAGUUGCUUACCAAGGCUUUGACGGGUAGCCGGCCUGAGAGGGUAAACGGCGACAUUAGGACUGAGGUACGGCGCAGUAGCGUACGGGAGGCAGCAGUGGGGAAUAUUGCACAAUAGGCGGAAGCCUGAUGCAGCGACGCCGCGUGCGGGAUGCCGGCCUUCGGGUUGUAAACCGCUUUCGACUGUGACGAAGCGUGAGUGACGGUAAUGGGUAAAGAAGCACCGGCUAACUACGUG
rnacentral:rRNA from 1 species